rnacentral:lncRNA from 1 species
AUAGCAACAACACACCCUUGUUAUGGUUUAUUUUGUCAUAGCAGCUUCUUCUAAGAAUUCAGUGUAUUUCUCCAUAGCAAGGAUCUCUUCAUUCCUUUAGUAAGCUGACAUUCAUAACAUUUUUAUAUUUACCUGUCAAAUGACUACUUUUGCGUUGAAUUCAAACUAAGAAAGAUUCUUUGAUAAAUACAUAUAUUGAAUGUCACACAAUAGUAUUCCUAAAUCCAGUUUGGAAUAGUGGCCAAGCUGUCCUUUUCCUAUUCUUAAGGUGUGCAGAGGACUGAGGAGGUCGGGAGAAUCUGGAGACUCCAGUGACAUCAGAGCUACUUUUCAUCGACCUUCUCAACUUCCUCUCCCACACAGCAGAGACUCAGCCGUGGAGACAGAUGAUACUGACACCACGUGCAUUUGGUGAACAACGAACGAUGAAGAAGGAAAAACAGCAUAUUCCCUAAGGAGUGUUACCUGCAUGCCACGACAUAGCUCUGUAUUAAGGAGGGAGUUCCCCGGCUGCUCCUUGCCUAGCUGCUGAUCAGUGCUGGCGUUUGCCUUGGAGUCUGCCUGCCUCUUACCUGUCACUGCCAGAUGAUACCCUGGUCAGAAUGUAACAGCACACCGCUGCUCUCCCACAGCCAGGGAAGGUGAAUGACUGACAUUGACUUCCCAGAGUUGGAUCUCACAGAGCAGAAGAAAAGCAUCCUUAAAGUGAAUAGAAGCCACGCCCC